rnacentral:tRNA from 1 species
GGUCAUGGCUCAGAGGUUGAGCGCUUGCCUUGCAUGCAGGAGGCACUGGAUUCGAUCCUCAGCACCA